rnacentral:rRNA from 1 species
GACGAACGCUGGCGGCGUGCUUAACACAUGCAAGUCGAACGGAAAGGCCCUGCUUUUGUGGGGUGCUCGAGUGGCGAACGGGUGAGUAACACGUGAGUAACCUGCCCUUGACUUUGGGAUAACUUCAGGAAACUGGGGCUAAUACCGGAUAGGAGCUCCUGCUGCAUGGUGGGGGUUGGAUAGUUUCGGCGGUUGGGGAUGGACUCGCGGCUUAUCAGCUUGUUGGUGGGGUAGUGGCUUACCAAGGCUUUGACGGGUAGCCGGCCUGAGAGGGUGACCGGCCACAUUGGGACUGAGAUACGGCACAGACUCCUACGGGAGGCAGCAGUGGAGAAUAUUGCACAAUGGGCGGAAGCCUGAUGCAGCAACGCCGCGUGCGGGAUGACGGCCUUCGGGUUGUAAACCGAUUUCGCCUGUGACGAAGCGUGAGUGACGGUAAUGGGUAAAGAAGCACCGGCUAACUACGUG